CUACGGGUCGCUCCAGUGGGGAAUAUUGGACAAUGGGGGAAACCCUGAUCCAGCAAUGCCGCGUGUGUGAGGAAGGCCUGCGGGUUGUAAAGCACUUUCGGUUGGGAGGACUGCUUCUAGCACUAAUAUUGUUGGAAGUUGACGUUACCUUCAGAAGAAGCACCGGCUAGCUCCGUGCCAGCAGCCGCAGUAAUACGGAGGGUGCAAGCGUUAAUCGGGAUUACUGGGCGUAAAGCGCGCGUAGGCGGCUAGAUCAGUCGGGUGUGAAAGCCCCGGGCUUAACCUGGGAACUGCAUCCGAUACUGUCUAGCUUGAGUACAGGAGAGGAGAGUGGAAUUCCACAUGUAGCGGUGAAAUGCGUAGAUAUGUGGAGGAACACCAAUGGCGAAGGCAGCUCUCUGGCCUGAUACUGACGCUGAGGUGCGAAAGCGUGGGGAGCAAACAGGAUUAGAUACCCCUGUAGUC
rnacentral:rRNA from 1 species